rnacentral:rRNA from 1 species
AUAUUGGACAAUGGGGGAAACCCUGAUGCAGCGACGCCGCGUGAGCGAAGAAGGCCUUCGGGUCGUAAAGCUCUGUCCUAAGGGAAGAAACGGACGGUACCUUAGGAGGAAGCCCCGGCUAACUACGUGCCAGCAGCCGCGGUAAUACGUAGGGGGCGAGCGUUGUCCGGAAUUAUUGGGCGUAAAGGGUUCGCAGGUGGCCUUUUAAGUCAGAUGUGAAAGCCCACGGCUCAACCGUGGUAAGCAUUUGAAACUGGAAGGCUUGAGUUAAGGAGAGGAAAGUGGAAUUCCUAGUGUAGCGGUGAAAUGCGUAGAUAUUAGGAGGAAUACCAGUGGCGAAGGCGACUUUCUGGACUGUAACUGACACUGAGGCUCGAAAGCGUGGGGAGCAAAC